rnacentral:rRNA from 1 species
GACGAACGCUGGCGGCGUGCUUAACACAUGCAAGUCGAACGGUAAGGCCCUUCGGGGUACACGAGUGGCGAACGGGUGAGUAACACGUGGGUGAUCUGCCCUGCACUUCGGGAUAAGCCUGGGAAACUGGGUCUAAUACCGGAUAGGACCACUGCCUGCAUGGGUGGGGGUGGAAAGCUUUUGCGGUGUGGGAUGGGCCCGCGGCCUAUCAGUUUGUUGGUGGGGUGACGGCCUACAAAGGCGAGGCCGGGUAGCCGGCCUGAGAGGGUGACCGGCCACACUGGGACUGAGAUACGGCCAAGACUCCUACGGGAGGCAGCAGUGGGGAAUAUUGCACAAUGGGCGCAAGCCUGAUGCAGCGACGCCGCGUGAGGGAUGACGGCCUUCGGGUUGUAAACCUCUUUCAGCACCGACGAAGCGCAAGUGACGGUAGGUGCAGAAGAAGGACCGGCCAACUACGUGCCAGCCGCCGCCGUAA